AUGAACGCUAGCGGCAGGCUUAAUACCAUGCAAGUCGAGGGGCAAGCCGGCAGUGUAGCAAUACAUGGGGCGGCGACCCGGCAAACGGGUGCGGAACACGUACGGCAACCUUCCCAAAACUGGUGAAUAGCCUUUCGAAAGAAGAGAUUAAUACACCGUAACUUAAUGAAGUGGCACUCACUUUAUUAAUAUAGCUCCGGCGGUUUUUGGAUGGGCGUGCGCCUGAUUAGGUAGUUUGGGCGGGGUAACGGCCCACCAAGCCUACGAUCAGUAACUGGUGUGAGAGCACGACCAGUCCACACGGGCACUGAGGACACGGGCCCAGGACUCCUACCGGGAGGGCAGCAGUAAGGGAAUAUUGGUCCAAUGGACGCAAGUCUGAACCAAGCCCAUGCCGCGUGGAGGAUGAAGGUCCCUCUGGAUUGUAAAACUUCUUUUAUCGGAGAAGAAAACCCCCAGUUUUUCUUGCUGGGUUGACGGUACCCGAUGAAUAAAGCCAACCGGCUUAACUCCGUGCCAAGCAGCCGCGGUAAUACGGAGGGGUUGCAAGCGUUAUCCGGAUUUCACUGGGUUUAAAGGGUGCGUAGGUGGGCUAGUAAGUCCGUGGUGAAAUCCCCGAGCUUUAACUCGGGGAACUGCCGUGGAUACUAAUUAGUCCUUGAAUAUCGUGGAGGUAAGCGGAAAUAUGUCCAUGUAGCGGUGAAAUGCUUAGAAUAUGACAAUAGAACACCGAUAAGCGGAGGCAGCUUACUACGGCGGAUUAUUGACACUGAGGCAACAAAAAGCGUGGGGGAUCAAACAGGAUUAGAUACCCUGGUAGUCCACCGCCCUAAAAACGAUGGAUACUCGACAUACGCGGAUUACACAGUGUGUGUCCUGAGCGAAAAGCAUUAAGUUAAUCCCACCUGGGAAGUACGACCGCAAGGUUGCAAACUCAAAGGAAUUGGCGGGGGGUCCCGCACAAAGCGGUGGAGCAUGUGGGUUUAAUUCGGAUGAUACGCCGAGGAACCUUACCUGGGCUAGAAUGCAGAUUGACCGUGGGUGAAAGCUCAUUUUGUAGCAAUACACCAGUCUGUAAGGUGCUUGCAUGGCUUGUCGUCAGCCUCGUGCCGUGAGGUGUUGGGUUAAGUCCCGCAACGAGCGGCAAACCCCAUCAUUAGUUGCCAAUCAGGUAAAGCUGGGAAACUCUCUAAUGAAACUGCCCGUCCGCAAGACGCGAGGGAAGGAGGGGGAUGAUGGUCAAGUCAUCCAUGGCCUUUAUGCCCAGGGGCUUACCACACGUGCUACAAUGGGAAGGGACAAAGGGGCUGCCACUUAGGCGACAAGGAGCUAAUACCCAAAAAACCUUCCUCUCAGUUCAGAUCGCAGUCCCUGCAAACUCGACUGCGUGAAGCCUGGAAUCGCUUAGUAACUCGUAUAUCAGCAAUGAUACGGUGUGAAUACCGUUUCCCGGACCUUGCACCCAACACCGCCCGUCAAGCCAUGGAAGCCCGGGUGUACCCUAAAGGUCGGUAACCGCAAGGAAGCCGCCUAGGGUAAAAAAACUGGUGACUGGGGCU
rnacentral:rRNA from 1 species